rnacentral:rRNA from 1 species
GAUGAACGCUGGCGGCGUGCCUAAUACAUGCAAGUCGAGCGAACAGACGAGGAGCUUGCUCCUCUGACGUUAGCGGCGGACGGGUGAGUAACACGUGGAUAGCCUACCUAUAAGACUGGGAUAACUUCGGGAAACCGGAGCUAAUACCGGAUAAUAUAUUGAACCGCAUGGUUCAAUAGUGAAAGACGGUUUUGCUGUCACUUAUAGAUGGAUCCGCGCCGCAUUAGCUAGUUGGUAAGGUAACGGCUUACCAAGGCAACGAUGCGUAGCCGACCUGAGAGGGUGAUCGGCCACACUGGAACUGAGACACGGUCCAGACUCCUACGGGAGGCAGCAGUAGGGAAUCUUCCGCAAUGGGCGAAAGCCUGACGGAGCAACGCCGCGUGAGUGAUGAAGGUCUUCGGAUCGUAAAACUCUGUUAUUAGGGAAGAACAAAUGUGUAAGUAACUAUGCACGUCCUGACGGUACCUAAUCAGAAAGCCACGGCUAACUACGUG